UUUGUAUAAUGGGUCAGCGACUUAUAUUCAGUGGCAAGGUUAACCAUCUAGGGGAGCCGUAGGGAAACCGAGUCUUAACUGGGCGUUCAGUCUCUGGAUAUAGACCCGAAACCAGGUGAUCUAGCCAUGGGCAGGUUGAAGGUUGAGUAACAUCAACUGGAGGACCGAACCGACUAAUGUUGAAAAAUUAGCGGAUGACUUGUGGCUAGGGGUGAAAGGCCAAUCAAACCUGGAGAUAGCUGGUUCUCCCCGAAAGCUAUUUAGGUAGCGCCUCGGACGAAUACUACUGGGGGUAGAGCACUGUUAAGGCUAGGGGGUCAUCCCGACUUACCAACCCUUUGCAAACUCCGAAUACCAGUAAGUACUAUCCGGGAGACACACGGCGGGUGCUAACGUCCGUCGUGGAGAGGGAAACAACCCAGACCGCCAGCUAAGGUCCCAAAUUACUACUAAGUGGGAAACGAUGUGGGAAGGCUCAGACAGCCAGGAUGUUGGCUUAGAAGCAGCCAUCAUUUAAAGAAAGCGUAAUAGCUCACUGGUCGAGUCGGCCUGCGCGGAAGAUGUAACGGGGCUAAGUAGUAAACCGAAGCUGCGGCAAUAUACUUUUGUAUAUUGGGUAGGGGAGCGUUCUGUAAGCGGUUGAAGGUGUGUGGUAACGCAUGCUGGACGUAUCAGAAGUGCGAAUGCUGACAUGAGUAACGAUAAAGGGGGUGAAAAACCUCCUCGCCGGAAGACCAAGGGUUCCUGUCCAACGUUAAUCGGGGCAGGGUAAGUCGACCCCUAAGGCGAGGCCGAAAGGCGUAGUCGAUGGGAAACGGGUUAAUAUUCCCGUACUUCUUACAAUUGCGAUGGGGGGACGGAGAAGGCUAGGUGGGCCUGGCGACGGUUGUCCAGGUUCAAGUGCGUAGGCUUAAGAGUUAGGUAAAUCCGGCUCUUUUUAAGGCUGAGACACGACGUCGAGCACCUACGGGUGUGAAGUCAUUGAUGCCAUGCUUCCAGGAAAAGCCUCUAAGCUUCAGAUUGUAAGGAAUCGUACCCCAAACCGACACAGGUGGUCGGGUAGAGAAUACCAAGGCGCUUGAGAGAACUCGGGUGAAGGAACUAGGCAAAAUGGUACCGUAACUUCGGGAGAAGGUAC
rnacentral:rRNA from 1 species